rnacentral:rRNA from 1 species
GUCUACAGCCAUGCCACCCUCAACACGCCCGAUCUUGUCUGAUCUUGGAAGCUAAGCAGGGUCAGGCCUGGUUAGUAGUUGGAUGGGAGACCACCAAGAAAUACCAGGUGCUAUAGGCC